rnacentral:rRNA from 1 species
UACGUAGGUGACCAGCGUUGUCCGGAUUUACUGGGCGUAAAGAGCGCGCAGGCGGUCGUUCAAGUCGAGUGUGAAAGCCCCCCGGCUCAACUGGGGAGGGUCAUUCGAUACUGAUCGACUCGAAGGCAGGAGAGGGAAGCGGAAUUCCCGGUGUAGUGGUGAAAUGCGUAGAUAUCGGGAGGAACACCAGUGGCGAAGGCGGCUUCCUGGCCUGUUCUUGACGCUGAGGCGCGAAAGCUAGGGGAGCAAACGGGG